GGCCGCGGGAAUUCGAUUCAGGCCUAACACAUGCAAGUCGAGCGAUGAAACUCCUUCGGGAGUGGAUUAGCGGCGGACGGGCGAGUAACACGUGGGUAACCUGCCUCAUAGAGGGGAAUAGCCUUCCGAAAGAAAGAUUAAUACCGCAUAAUAUUGUAGUUUCGCAUGAAACAGCAAUUAAAGGAGUAAUCCACUAUGAGAUGGACCCGCGUCGCAUUAGCUAGUUGGUGAGGUAACGGCUCACCAAGGCGACGAUGCGUAGCCGACCUGAGAGGGUGAUCGGCCACAUUGGGACUGAAACACGGCCCAGACUCCUACGGGAGGCAGCAGUGGGGAAUAUUCAAGAAGGGGGGAAACCCUGAUGCAGCAACGCC
rnacentral:rRNA from 1 species